rnacentral:rRNA from 1 species
AGUGAACGCUGGCGGUAGGCCUAACACAUGCAAGUCGAACGGCAGCACAGUAAGAGCUUGCUCUUACGGGUGGCGAGUGGCGGACGGGUGAGGAAUACAUCGGAAUCUACUUUUUCGUGGGGGAUAACGUAGGGAAACUUACGCUAAUACCGCAUACGACCUACGGGGGAAAGCAGGGGAUCUUCGGACCUUGCGCGAUUGAAUGAGCCGAUGUCGGAUUAGCUAGUUGGCGGGGUAAAGGCCCACCAAGGCGACGAUCCGUAGCUGGUCUGAGAGGAUGAUCAGCCACACUGGAACUGAGACACGGUCCAGACUCCUACGGGAGGCCGCAGUGGGGAAUAUUGGACAAUGGGCGCAAGCCUGAUCCAGCCAUACCGCGUGGGUGAAGAAGGCCUUCGGGUUGUAAAGCCCUUUUGUUGGGAAAGAAAAGCAGCAGGUUAAUACCCCGCUGUUCUGACGGUACCCAAAGAAUAAGCACCGGCUAACUUCGUG